GACGAACGCUGGCGGCGUGCUUAACACAUGCAAGUCGAACGGAAAGGCCCUGCCUUUGUUGGGUGCUCGAGUGGCGAACGGGUGAGUAACACGUGAGUAACCUGCCCUUGACUUUGGGAUAACUUCAGGAAACUGGGGCUAAUACCGGAUAGGAGCUCCUGCUGCAUGGUGGGGGUUGGAAAGUUUCGGCGGUUGGGGAUGGACUCGCGGCUUAUCAGCUUGUUGGUGGGGUAGUGGCUUACCAAGGCUUUGACGGGUAGCCGGCCUGAGAGGGUGACCGGCCACAUUGGGACUGAGAUACGGCCCAGACUCCUACGGGAGGCAGCAGUGGGGAAUAUUGCACAAUGGGCGGAAGCCUGAUGCAGCAACGCCGCGUGCGGGAUGACGGCCUUCGGGUUGUAAACCGCUUUCGCCUGUGACGAAGCGUGAGUGACGGUAAUGGGUAAAGAAGCACCGGCUAACUACGUG
rnacentral:rRNA from 1 species